UAAUUUCCAAAACAAUCAAUGCUUUAUUAUUUAGUCAAUUGUGUUUGUCCCUUCAUGCUGUCUCCAGGGAUCCAGAGGUGCCCCUGGGCAGGAGGGAGUUGCUGGUCUCGAUGGUGAGGAGGGUCCAGUGGGACUAACUGGAGUUGAGGGGCCAGUUGGUCAAAAAAGCAUAUCUGGCGAUAAGGGAAAUGCUGGACUUCCUGGGGAAAAAGGAUCAAGGGGAGCCGAAGGGGAAAGAGGGAACCGGGGGCCACAGGGACGAAAAGGGCCACUAGGGAAACAGGGAUACAGGGGUUCACCAGGCGAUAGAGGACAACAAGGGCUUACAGCGCUAAAGGGUGAUGAAGGCACCAGGGGUUUGUCAGGCAUGCGUGGACAGUUCGGACGUGGGGGGACCACUGGGGCGCCAGGAGCCAGAGGCCAAAAAGGCCUGCAAGGACACACUG